AUGAUUUUGUGAAAAUAUUAAAUUCACUGUGUUUUAAUUAAUUGCCCUAGUUUUUAUUAAUUAUUAUAAAAGCCAUUAAGAAGCAGUUAUAUAAAAAAUGUCACAGGGUUAUUUAAAAAAAUAAAAACUUCCUCAAAUGAGAGAGAAGACAGAAUUUCAUAAAUAUAAUCCUUUUGUGAGUGGCCCAUACUUCUCUACAUGCAUGCUUUGAUGACCUGACCUCUAGUGUGACUGAAACUUUUGUGUUUCUGUGUAAAAAUUAAUAAAUGUUCAUUUUGUGUAUAACACAUUAUAAUGAGUAUUAACAUUAUUAUUAUAUUAGACUACUACAGUACACAACAUGAUAUGACACUUGACUGUGUAGUGUUAGUGUCUUUAUUAUCCUGUCUUCUUUUUAUAGUAUGGACUCACUCCUCUCAUAUGGGCAGCUGUUAAAGGUCACACACAUGUAGUGACAAUGCUCCUUGAAAAAGGAGCAGAUCUCACUGCCUCUGAUGAUUUUGGUAGGACUGCUCUUUAUUGUGCUGAACAAAGAGGUCAUUCUGAUACUGCCACCCAACUGAGAGUACACUCAGGUAAUGUAUUUAUUAGUUUAUUGAACUGAUGUUAUUAUACUGUAUGUAGUACUGUAUUGUUAGUAAAUUUUAUGAAACAGCUUGAGUCAUCAGCUACUGCUUCCUCCCUUACCAUGUGUACAAUUCAUUUAAAUGAUAAAAAUGUGUCACAUUAUUAUCUGUUGUCCAUUCCUUCCCUAUUGAUGUAUGAUGUAAGAUGUAGAGGGUGUGGCAUGAUGGUCAGUACAUGCUCCUUCAUAGUAAAUUGUAUGUGAUGUCACAUGUUAGUAUCAUUGUUUACCCAAUGACUGUAAAACAUUA